GAUGAACGCUGGCGGUGUGCCUAAUACAUGCAAGUCGAGCGACCAGACGAGGAGAUUGUUCUCUUGACGUUAGCGGCGGACGGGCGAGUAACAAAUGGAUAACAUACUACUAUUACUGGGAUAACUACGGGAGAACGGUGCCAAUACUGGAUCAUAUGUUGUACCGCAUGGAUCAAUAGUUCUUGAGGCUUUUCGCGUUUGUAUGAGAUGGUUCCGGGCCGCAUUAGCUAGUUGGUAAGGUAACGGCUUACCAAGGCGACGAUGCGUAGCCGACCUGAGAGGGUUAUCGGCCACACUGGAACUGAGACACGGUCCAGACUCCUACGGGAGGCAGCAGUAGGGAAUCUUCCGCAAUGGGCGAAAGCCUGACGGAGCAACGCCGCGUGAGUGAUGAAGGUCUUCGGAUCGUAAAACUCUGUAAUUAGGGAAGAACAAAUGUGUAAGUAACUAUGCACGUCUUGACGGUACCUAAUCAGAAAGCCACGGCUAACUACGUG
rnacentral:rRNA from 1 species